AUUGAACGCUGGCGGCAGGCCUAACACAUGCAAGUCGAACGAGCGGCGGACGGGUGAGUAAUGUAUGGGGACCUGCCUGAUCGAGGGGGAUAACUACUGGAAACGGUGGCUAAUACCGCAUACUAUCAGAUGAACCCAGAUGGGAUUAGCUAGUAGGUGGGGUAAAGGCUCACCAAGGCGACGAUCCCUAGCUGGUCUGAGAGGAUGAUCAGCCAAACUGGGACUGAGACACGGUCCAGACUCCUACGGGAGGCAGCAGUGGGGAAUAUUGCACAAUGGGCGAAAGCCUGAUGCAGCCAUGCCGCGUGUAUGAAGAAGGCCUUAGGGUUGUAAAGUACUUUCAGCGGGGAGGCGUUACCCGCAGAAGAAGCACCGGCUAACUCCGUGCCAGCAGCCGCGGUAAUAC
rnacentral:rRNA from 1 species